rnacentral:ncRNA from 1 species
CUGACAUGCGUGCAAGUCAACGGGUGAGUAAACCCAUAAGGCGCAAGGAAGCUAACUAGCGGGACCCCCUUGUGGGUUGCACCGCCAACCGACUUAGUUCUUCUGAGAAGGGUUCAAGUGAGAGCAUACUUGUUGGGACCCGAAAGAUGGUGAACUAUGUCUGAGUGGGGUGAAGCUAGAGGAAAUUCUAGUGGAGGCCCGCAACGAUACUGACGUGCAAAUCGUUCGUCUGACUUGGGUUAGGGGUGAAAGACUAACCGAACCGUCUAGUAGUUGG